rnacentral:rRNA from 1 species
CACGUAGGGGGCAAGCGUUGUCCGGAAUUAUUGGGCGUAAAGGGCUCGUAGGCGGUUUGUCGCGUCGGGAGUGAAAUCCACUGGCUUAACUGGUGGCUUGCUUUCGAUACGGGCAGACUGGAGGUAUGCAGGGGAGAACGGAAUUCCUGGUGUAGCGGUGAAAUGCGCAGAUAUCAGGAGGAACACCGGUGGCGAAGGCGGUUCUCUGGGCAUGUCCUGACGCUGAGGAGCGAAAGUGUGGGGAGCGAACAGG